rnacentral:rRNA from 1 species
UGGGGAAUAUUGGACAAUGGGCGAAAGCCUGAUCCAGCCAUGCCGCGUGUGUGAAGAAGGUCUUCGGAUUGUAAAGCACUUUAAGUUGGGAGGAAGGGCAUUAACCUAAUACGUUAGUGUUUUGACGUUACCGACAGAAUAAGCACCGGCUAACUCUGUGCCAGCAGCCGCGGUAAUACAGAGGGUGCAAGCGUUAAUCGGAAUUACUGGGCGUAAAGCGCGCGUAGGUGGUUUGUUAAGUUGGAUGUGAAAUCCCCGGGCUCAACCUGGGAACUGCAUUCAAAACUGACUGACUAGAGUAUGGUAGAGGGUGGUGGAAUUUCCUGUGUAGCGGUGAAAUGCGUAGAUAUAGGAUGGAACACCAGUGGCGAAGGCGACCACCUGGACUAAUACUGACACUGAGGUGCGAAAGCGUGGGGAGCAAACA